UUCGCUCUCUUUGCCAUUUGGCUUAGAUCCGAGACAGUGGAGUCUCUGUUCUGGGUAACACCGGAGCAACCGCCUACGGGCGGAAUCUUGUGUUAUCUUAUUUUUGGAAAUGGGGGAGUGGCCGGCUGGGGCGUCGCAGCACCCAUGUCACUUCCCACUGUGUCGCCUGUAUUGCACUGUCUCGGGCUGAUGCGAACUCUU
rnacentral:snRNA from 1 species